rnacentral:rRNA from 1 species
CCCUUCGGGGACGCGGUGACAGGUGCUGCAUGGCUGUCGUCAGCUCGUGUCGUGAGAUGUUGGGUUAAGUCCCGCAACGAGCGCAACCUCGUCCUUAGUUGCCAUCAUUUAGUUGGGCACUCUAAGGAAACCGCCGGUGAUAAGCCGGAGGAAGGUGGGGAUGACGUCAAGUCCUCAUGGCCCUUACAGGCUGGGCUACACACGUGCUACAAUGGCGGUGACAGCGGGCAGCCACUCCGCAAGGAGGAGCUAAUCCCGAAAAGCCGUCUCAGUUCGGAUUGUUCUCUGCAACUCGAGAGCAUGAAGGCGGAAUCGCUAGUAAUCGCGGAUCAGCAUGCCGCGGUGAAUACGUUCCCAGGCCUUGUACACACCGCCCGUCACACCAUGGGAGUUGGUUUCACCCGAAGGCAGUGCGCUAACCGCAAGGAGGCAGCUGACCACGGUGGGAUCAGCGACUGGGGUGAAGUCGUAACAAGGUAAGCGUAGCGAG